rnacentral:rRNA from 1 species
GACGAACGCUGGCGGCGUGCUUAACACAUGCAAGUCGAACGGAAAGGCCCUGCUUUUGUGGGGUGCUCGAGUGGCGAACGGGUGAGUAACACGUGAGUAACCUGCCCUUGACUUUGGGAUAACUUCAGGAAACUGGGGCUAAUACCGGAUAGGAGCUCCUGCUGCAUGGUGGGGGUUGGAAAGUUUCGGCGGUUGGGGAUGGACUCGCGGCUUAUCAGCUUGUUGGUGGGGUAGUGGCUUACCAAGGCUUUGACGGGUAGCCGGCCUGAGAGGGUGACCGGCCACAUUGGGACUGAGAUACGGACCAGAAUCCUACGGGAGGCAGCAGUGGGGAAUAUUGCACAGUGGGCGGAAGCCUGAUGCGGCAACGCCGCGUGCGGGAUGACGGCCUUCGGGUUGUAAACCGCUUUCGCCUGUGACGAAGCGUGAGUGACGGUAAUGGGUAAAGAAGCACCGGCUAACUACGUG